GGUUUGAUUUCAGGAGGAGCAUCUAAGUGUGCCUAUCAAAGCACCUCCAUUUGCAACUCAGCACUUCGUCCCACUUGGUUGCUUUAAACAGGUACCUGGUUUUACAUGGUGCCAUCCAGGAGUGCGAUGCUGUAGCUGGCAGAAAUGACAUUCGCAAUGGGAGAUAAGAGACCAGACUUCCUUAAAGCAGACUUCCCAGUGGCUUCCUUCCCCAGCUGGCUGUGCUGGCAAUGGCUCAGCAGGACACGAGGAGGAAUUUGGCCUUGUACCUACCCCUGUAAGUCUGUAAUUUUGUUGUUGUUGUUCUUUUGUACCUGAAGCAUUCUGGAAAAAUGCUGAUAUCUUGGCAAAUAUCUGGACAUCUUUGCUGUUAAGAGAGCAGUGAUUAAUGUGCUUUUUUGUUCUCUGAUUAAAUUAAAACAUGUAUUCUAACAUGUCUUGGAGACAUUUAUAAUUGUCCUUGUGUAGCCCAGCUUAUCAGGACACAGUAGCAGGUGUUGUCAGCUCCGCCAGCCAGGAUUUUCAAUCCUGCAUGCCAGCCUCUCUGCUGAAGGCCAAGGCCCAGAUGCCGCAGCCCUUUGCUCACACUAAGCAGCAUUUCCACCAGCAGCCCAAUUGCCCAGGAGGAUGUUCAAUGGUUCCUGGGGACCACAACACAGCUGGGGUGGGCUGAGCAGCAGUGCUGGACAUGCCAUCUCACAAAGGUCUCUUUGCAUUAACCUGCCUGGCUGCACUGCAGAUUGGGAAAGGUGGCUUUUCAGAUUUCUCCAGAUCUGACAGCACUUGAAACAAACUUUACCGACUUUAUCUUAAAUAGAGCUUUUUGCUGGUUUAUCUCAAAGUGUGUUGCAGAGCAGGGCAGUAGCAGUGAUGAUGUAAGAAGAGAGUGCUGUUUCUGUGAAGAGCCCAUUCUGUUGCCCUGUGAAGAGCCCACUCUCCUCUCAGUGUAACCCCAAGCAAAGUGUCCCCUCCAUUCACCUCUCUUCUCAGAGGGGUACUUGAAUGUAGGGGCUUGAGUAGGUUGUCAUCACCGAGGUCGCUGCCUCCACAGUGUGCCCUGACCCUUGCUGCCCUGCCUCCAAUUCAGGCAACUUAGUCCUCAGGGCUGAUCUGGUGGCCACUCUUUAUCCAGAGCUAAGAUUAGCUUUUUGCUAAGGAGUUGCUUUUGCUUCUUCUCUUUCUCUGGUGAAUCUUAAGCAAGUAGUGCACUGUCACUGUUGUCAGCCCCUUUCUUGCUAAUGUGACAGGAGAACCUUCCCCUCUGAAGAAACCCUUACAGACCUGGAGGUCAUCGUUUGACUAGAACAAAGUUGAAAUAGGUUUCCUUUGUACUUUUGCCACCUUUAUACGAAGAAUAAAGAAAAAGCUGAUCAAGAGCA
rnacentral:lncRNA from 1 species